GCCUCAGUAACGGCGAGUGAAGCGGCAACAGCUCAAAUUUGAAAUCUGGCCUCUUUGGGGCCCGAGUUGUAAUUUGUAGAGGGCGCUUUGGCGUUGGCCCUGGCCUAAGUUCCUUGGAACAGGACGUCACAGAGGGUGAGAACCCCGUACGUGGCCGGUGGUCUUCGCCGUGUAAAGCCCCUUCGACGAGUCGAGUUGUUUGGGAAUGCAGCUCUAAAUGGGAGGUAAAUUUCUUCUAAAGCUAAAUAUUGGCCAGAGACCGAUAGCGCACAAGUAGAGUGAUCGAAAGAUGAAAAGCACUUUGGAAAGAGAGUCAAAAAGCACGUGAAAUUGUUGAAAGGGAAGCGCUUGCAGCCAGACUUGCCUGUAGUUGCUCAUCCGGGCUCUCGCCCGGUGCACUCUUCUGCGGGCAGGCCAGCAUCAGUCCAGGCGGCCGGAUAAAGGCCUUGGGAAUGUGGCUCCCUUCGGGGAGUGUUAUAGCCCAGGGUGCAAUGCGGCCAGCUUGGACUGAGGUCCGCGCAUCUGCUAGGAUGCUGGCGUAAUGGCUGUAAGCGGCCCGUCUUGAAACACGGACCAAGGAGUCUAACAUCUAUGCGAGUGUUUGGGUGUCAAGCCCGGGCGCGCAAUGAAAGUGAACGGAGGUGGGAACCCCUCGGGGCGCACCAUCGACCGAUCCUGAUGUCUUCGGAUGGAUUUGAGUAAGAGCAUAGCUGUUGGGACCCGAAAGAUGGUGAACUAUGCCUGAAUAGGGUGAAGCCAGAGGAAACUCUGGUGGAGGCUCGCAUCGGUUCUGACGUGCAAAUCGAUCGUCAAAUUUGGGCAUAGGGGCGAAAGACUAAUCGAACUAUCUAGUAGCUGGUUCCUGCCGAAGUUUCCCUCACGAUAGCAGUAACGUUUUCAGUUUUAUGAGGUAAAGCGAAUGAUUAGAGGCAUGGGGGUUGAAACAACCUUCACCUAUUCUCAAACUU
rnacentral:rRNA from 1 species